rnacentral:rRNA from 1 species
UUCGACACACUAUCAUUAACUGAAUCCAUAGGUUAAUGAGGCGAACCGGGGGAACUGAAACAUCUAAGUACCCCGAGGAAAAGAAAUCAACCGAGAUUCCCCCAGUAGCGGCGAGCGAACGGGGAGGAGCCCAGAGCCUGAAUCAGUGUGUGUGUUAGUGGAAGCGUCUGGAAAGGCGCGCGAUACAGGGUGACAGCCCCGUACACAAAAAUGCACAUAUUGUGAGCUCGAUGAGUAGGGCGGGACACGUGGUAUCCUGUCUGAAUAUGGGGGGACCAUCCUCCAAGGCUAAAUACUCCUGACUGACCGAUAGUGAACCAGUACCGUGAGGGAAAGGCGAAAAGAACCCCGGCGAGGGGAGUGAAAAAGAACCUGAAACCGUGUACGUACAAGCAGUGGGAGCCUCUUAAUGGGGUGACUGCGUACCUUUUGUAUAAUGGGUCAGCGACUUAUAUUCUGUAGCAAGGUUAACCGAAUAGGGGAGCCGAAGGGAAACCGAGUCUUAACUGGGCGUUAAGUUGCAGGGUAUAGACCCGAAACCCGGUGAUCUAGCCAUGGGCAGGUUGAAGGUUGGGUAACACUAACUGGAGGACCGAACCGACUAAUGUUGAAAAAUUAGCGGAUGACUUGUGGCUGGGGGUGAAAGGCCAAUCAAACCGGGAGAUAGCUGGUUCUCCCCGAAAGCUAUUUAGGUAGCGCCUCGUGAAUUCAUCUCCGGGGGUAGAGCACUGUUUCGGCAAGGGGGUCAUCCCGACUUACCAACCCGAUGCAAACUGCGAAUACCGGAGAAUGUUAUCACGGGAGACACACGGCGGGUGCUAACGUCCGUCGUGAAGAGGGAAACAACCCAGACCGCCAGCUAAGGUCCCAAAGUCAUGGUUAAGUGGGAAACGAUGUGGGAAGGCCCAGACAGCCAGGAUGUUGGCUUAGAAGCAGCCAUCAUUUAAAGAAAGCGUAAUAGCUCACUGGUCGAGUCGGCCUGCGCGGAAGAUGUAACGGGGCUAAACCAUGCACCGAAGCUGCGGCAGCGACACUAUGUGUUGUUGGGUAGGGGAGCGUUCUGUAAGCCUGUGAAGGUGGCCUGUGAGGGUUGCUGGAGGUAUCAGAAGUGCGAAUGCUGACAUAAGUAACGAUAAAGCGGGUGAAAAGCCCGCUCGCCGGAAGACCAAGGGUUCCUGUCCAACGUUAAUCGGGGCAGGGUGAGUCGACCCCUAAGGCGAGGCCGAAAGGCGUAGUCGAUGGGAAACAGGUUAAUAUUCCUGUACUUGGUGUUACUGCGAAGGGGGGACGGAGAAGGCUAUGUUGGCCGGGCGACGGUUGUCCCGGUUUAAGCGUGUAGGCUGGUUUUCCAGGCAAAUCCGGAAAAUCAAGGCUGAGGCGUGAUGACGAGGCACUACGGUGCUGAAGCGACAAAUGCCCUGCUUCCAGGAAAAGCCUCUAAGCAUCAGGUAACAUCAAAUCGUACCCCAAACCGACACAGGUGGUCAGGUAGAGAAUACCAAGGCGCUUGAGAGAACUCGGGUGAAGGAACUAGGCAAAAUGGUGCCGUAACUUCGGGAGAAGGCACGCUGAUAUGUAGGUGAAGCGACUUGCUCGUGGAGCUGAAAUCAGUCGAAGAUACCAGCUGGCUGCAACUGUUUAUUAAAAACACAGCACUGUGCAAACACGAAAGUGGACGUAUACGGUGUGACGCCUGCCCGGUGCCGGAAGGUUAAUUGAUGGGGUUAGCGGUAACGCGAAGCUCUUGAUCGAAGCCCCGGUAAACGGCGGCCGUAACUAUAACGGUCCUAAGGUAGCGAAAUUCCUUGUCGGGUAAGUUCCGACCUGCACGAAUGGCGUAAUGAUGGCCAGGCUGUCUCCACCCGAGACUCAGUGAAAUUGAACUCGCUGUGAAGAUGCAGUGUACCCGCGGCAAGACGGAAAGACCCCGUGAACCUUUACUAUAGCUUGACACUGAACAUUGAGCCUUGAUGUGUAGGAUAGGUGGGAGGCUUUGAAGUGUGGACGCCAGUCUGCAUGGAGCCGACCUUGAAAUACCACCCUUUAAUGUUUGAUGUUCUAACGUGGGCCCCUUACCGGGGUUGCGGACAGUGUCUGGUGGGUAGUUUGACUGGGGCGGUCUCCUCCUAAAGAGUA